GGGCCUACGGGACGCAGCAGUGGGGGAUAUUGCACAAUGGGGGAAACCCUGACGCAGUGACGCCGCGUGCAGGAAGAAGGUUUUCGGAUUGUAAACUGCUUUAGACAGGGAAGAAAGAAAUGACGGUACCUGUAGAAUAAGCUCCGGCUAACUACGUGCCAGCAGCCGCGGUAAUACGUAGGGAGCAAGCGUUAUCCGGAUUUAUUGGGUGUAAAGGGUGCGUAGACGGGUAUACAAGUUAGUAGUGAAAUCCCUCGGCUUAACUGAGGAACUGCUACUAAAACUAUAUAUCUUGAGUACUGGAG
rnacentral:rRNA from 1 species